AGGAGGAGCCACGCUGACGUGGAGCCCACAGCUCCAGCUGACUGACUGUGUGUGUUUGCAUAUGUGUCCUGUUAAGAGACCAGUGUUGAUCAGUGUGUGUCCAGGUCUUUCAGCGGCAGCACCAUGAUGAUGUCUCUGACUCUACUGCUGGCCACCCUGGGGCUCCUUGUUCAGGAUUCAUGUGGAGACAUCCUCCUGACUCAGACUCCUGGAGCUUUGUCUGUUGCUGCACAACAGACUGUUACUAUUAAGUGUAAAACCAGUUCAAGUGUUGGUGAUGACAUCGACUGGUACCUUCAGAAACCAGGAGAAGCUCCUAAACUCCUGAUUUAUGAUACUACAGAACGUCAGUCUGGAGUUCCAGAUCGUUUUAGAGCAACAGCAGAUCGUGGUACUGAAUUCUCCUUAAUCAUCAGCAGAGUUCAGACGGUUGAUGCAGGAGUUUAUUACUGUCAACAGCGUAACAGCUUCCCACUCACACAGUGAAACAACGUCGUACAAAAACCUCCUCAGCUGAAGAGGAACUGAUCUGAACUAACAGCUGCACAAAAACACAAAGACUGAAAUAUAAAUAUACAAACAUUAUAAAUGAAAGGCCAAGAGUAAAAGGUAACAUAAAUAAUAAUUGUUUAUUACUUUUUAAGUUUGUUUUAGUUUGAAUAAAUUUAGUGU